GAGGAAUAUUGGUCAAUGGGCGAGAGCCUGAACCAGCCAUCCCGCGUGCAGGAUGACGGCCCUACGGGUUGUAAACUGCUUUUCCGCGCCAAGAAUGGUUCCGACGUGUCGGGAUUUGACGGUAGCGCGGGAAUAAGCACCGGCUAACUCCGUGCCAGCAGCCGCGGUAAUACGGAGGGUGCAAGCGUUAUCCGGAUUUAUUGGGUUUAAAGGGUGCGCAGGUGGGAAUGUAAGUCAGUGGUGAAAUUCUGCCGCUCAACGGUAGGACUGCCAUUGAUACUGCGUUUCUUGAGUAUGGUUGAGGUAGGCGGAAUGUGUCGUGUAGCGGUGAAAUGCAUAGAUAUGACACGGAACGCCGAUUGCGAAGGCAGCUUACUAAGCCAUUACUGACACUGAGGCACGAAAGCGUGGGUAGCGAAC
rnacentral:rRNA from 1 species